rnacentral:rRNA from 1 species
GAUGAACGCUGGCGGCGUGCCUAAUACAUGCAAGUCGAGCGAACAGACGAGGAGCUUGCUCCUCUGACGUUAGCGGCAGACGGGUGAGUAACACGUGGAUAACCUACCUAUAAGACUGGGAUAACUUCGGGAAACCGGAGCUAAUACCGGAUAAUAUAUUGAACCGCAUGGUUCAAUAGUGAAAGACGGUUUUGCUGUCACUUAUAGAUUGAUCCGCGCCGCAUUAGCUAGUUGGUAAGGUAACGGCUUACCAAGGCAACGAUGCGUAGCCGACCUGAGAGGGUGAUCGGCCACACUGGAACUGAGACACGGUCCAGACUCCUACGGGAGGCAGCAGUAGGGAAUCUUCCGCAAUGGGCGAAAGCCUGACGGAGCAACGCCGCGUGAGUGAUGAAGGUCUUCGGAUCGUAAAACUCUGUUAUUAGGGAAGAACAAAUGUGUAAGUAACUAUGCACGUCUUGACGGUACCUAAUCAGAAAGCCACGGCUAACUACGUG